rnacentral:lncRNA from 1 species
CAUUAGAGUGGUUCAGCAUGAAUGUGUUCAUCCAUAGUAACCUGGGGGGAAUGGGGUCAAUCUCCCAUUUCAGGAUACUGUUUCAAUUUUUGUUUUUUGGUUGAUAACCUUUUUUUUUUUUUUUUUUUGGAAACUGGGAAAAUGUAGACGUUUGCUCUGCUAAAAGUGGAAAUUUAACAUAAACUUAACUUCUGACUUCAAAGAUUGCUGUAUGCCAAGUCUCAUUGUAUCUCCAUCGUUAACAGUAAUCCAGGAGGAGAAAGUCAUUAAACAUUUUAUGGUUUCCAAUUGCCGUCAAGAUACUAACAACUGACAUUGAUUGAGGACUUACUAUGUAACAGGCUCUUUUAUUGACACUACAUAUACUACACACACACAUAAAGGGGCAUAUAUAUAUAUACACAUAUAUACACAAAUACUGUACACUAUACACUUAAACACACUAUGUAUACUAAUGUAUGAUACCACUAUAUACUACUAUUACAUAUAAAUAUAUAAAUACAUAUAAUCAACCCCAGAGGGUAGGAACACUUUACAAAUAAAGAAACCAAGAUACAUAUAGUUUACAUUAAUCUACAUAACUAGUGAGUGAUGACGCUGGAGUUAAAACUAGGCAGUCUAAUCCUGGAGCCCAUAUGGGUUCGUGGCACAUUUGUGGCAUCCACACUGUGCUGAGCAUUGUGCCACAUGUGAAGGUUCAGAGAUGAAUAAGGCAUGCCGCUAUUCCUAAGUUCACAGUUGAUGGAGGAGAUAGGCACAUUAUUACAGUAAGGUGCAACAGUGCUGGCUGAGCUGGGUCUUGAUGAUUAGGAUUAUACAUCUUGGAACACAUCAGAACAAAGUAUUCCACCCCCAGGUGCAGUAUGUACAAAGGUAAGAAACAGCUGUAACAGUCAUGGAGUUUUAAUCGGGAUGAGCCCCUGCAGAGAAUCUGCAGAAUCUGGGGGAAGAGAGAGCAACAUGAAGCCAGAAGAAUUGACAGAGACAAUGCAGUGAAGAGCCUUGAAUGCUAGUUUGUACUUUUAUCCUAUGAGAAAUGCAGAGUUGGUGAAGGUUUGUAAGCUGGAGAUGGAGAUGAUGGGAUGUGUUGCAGAAGUAUCACCGUGAUAAUCUUGCAGAGGCUGGCCUGGUAGCCACUCCUGGAGCUCCUAGAACUCUGGCCCAAGGCUCUCUGACUGACUCCUUCUCAGAUCUUCUCAGCUUAGCGGCUGAAGACUGACGCUGCCCGAUCGCCUCAGAAGCCCCGUAGACCAUCACGGACGCCGAGCUUUAAGCAACUCUCACAGUGGAAGGUAAGUCCGUCCCCUUCUUAAUCAAUACGGAGGCUACCCACUCCACAUUACCUUCUUUUCAAAGGCCUGAUUCCCUGCCUCCAUAACUGUUGUGGGUAUUGACGGCCAGGCUUCUAAACCUCUUAAAACUCCCCAACUCUGUUGCCAACUUAGGCAAUACUUUUUUAAGCACUCCUUUUUAGUUGUCCCCACCUGCCCAGUUCCCUUAUUAGGCCAAGACACUUUAACUAAAUUAUCUGCUUCCCUGACUAUUCCUGAACUACAGCCGCAUCUCAUUGCCGCCCUUCUCCCCAACCCAAAGCCUCCUUUGCGUCUUCCUCUCGUAUCCCGCCACCUUAACCCACAAGUAUAGGACAUCUCUACUCCUUCCCUGGCAACCGAUCACAUGCCCAUU